rnacentral:precursor_RNA from 1 species
CGCCGUACGUACGAGAGAGUGCAGCUAGCCUACCUAGCGUUAGCCUUAGCCAUGAGAGCAUACACAGCCCUCGAUGCAUGUGAGACCACAAGAAAGAUCUAUCUCCAUAUUCUCCAGCCAUCAUGCAUGUGGCCAUAUGUACAGGCGUUAGCUUUGCCUUUUGUUAGCUAGCUCGACCAGUAUAUAUAUAGUAGUAGUAACCUCGUGCAGCUGAAUAGCUGAUAGCUAGCUAGCGUCUUAAUAUGCAUAUAUGCAUGGUGUGUGUGUGCAUGUACUAGCAGCUAUAGAUCAAGAUAGGUGUGAUUGAGAGAGAUAGGUGUUUGGAAUGCAGUUUGAUCCAAGAUCUGCCUAUAUAUAUGGUGUGUAUAUCAUAUCUUGUGAUAUGGGGGAUAUGCAACAAGUGUGUGACAGGGGUGGGUAGAUCUCGGAUCAGGCUUCAUUCCUCACACCAAUACUCUCUGUUGAUGGACAAGUAAGGUAUGCACCAGGUAUGAAAGUGAAACCAGCCCUUGGGUAGCCCAUGCCAUGGUUUGAGGCAUGGGAUUCAAUCUUUAGUAUAAGAUCUACUUUGCUAUUGUGUAAUUGAAAUUCCUUGUCUAAGUUAUAAUAGGUCG